GAUGAACGCUGGCGGCGUGCUUAACACAUGCAAGUCGAACGGAAAGGCCCAAGCUUGCUUGGGUACUCGAGUGGCGAACGGGUGAGUAACACGUGGGUGAUCUGCCCUGCACUUCGGGAUAAGCCUGGGAAACUGGGUCUAAUACCGGAUAGGACGAUGGUUUGGAUGCCAUUGUGGAAAGUUUUUUCGGUGUGGGAUGAGCUCGCGGCCUAUCAGCUUGUUGGUGGGGUAAUGGCCUACCAAGGCGUCGACGGGUAGCCGGCCUGAGAGGGUGUACGGCCACAUUGGGACUGAGAUACGGCCCAGACUCCUACGGGAGGCAGCAGUGGGGAAUAUUGCACAAUGGGCGCAAGCCUGAUGCAGCGACGCCGCGUGGGGGAUGACGGCCUUUGGGUUGUAAACUCCUUUCGCUAGGGACGAAGCGUUUUUGUGACGGUACCUGGAGAAGAAGCACCGGCUAACUACGUG
rnacentral:rRNA from 1 species